GGGUUGUGAGGUUAAGCGACUAAGCGUACACGGUGGAUGCCCUGGCAGUCAGAGGCGAUGAAGGACGUGCUAAUCUGCGAAAAGCGCCGGCGAGGUGAUAUGAACCUUUGACCCGGCGAUGUCCGAAUGGGGAAACCCAGUGCAAUUCGUUGCACUAUCGUUAACUGAAUACAUAGGUUAACGAGGCGAACCGGGGGAACUGAAACAUCUAAGUACCCCGAGGAAAAGAAAUCAACCGAGAUUCCCCCAGUAGCGGCGAGCGAACGGGGAGGAGCCCAGAGUCUGAAUCAGUUUGUGUGUUAGUGGAACGGUCUGGAAAGUCCGGCGAUACAGGGUGACAGCCCCGUACACGAAAAUGCACUUGCUGUGAACUCGAAGAGUAGGGCGGGACACGUGGUAUCCUGUCUGAAUAUGGGGGGACCAUCCUCCAAGGCUAAAUACUCCUGACUGACCGAUAGUGAACCAGUACCGUGAGGGAAAGGCGAAAAGAACCCCGGCGAGGGGAGUGAAAAAGAACCUGAAACCGUGUACGUACAAGCAGUGGGAGCACCCUUCGGGGUGUGACUGCGUACCUUUUGUAUAAUGGGUCAGCGACUUAUAUUCUGUAGCAAGGUUAACCGAAUAGGGGAGCCGAAGGGAAACCGAGUCUUAACUGGGCGUUAAGUUGCAGGGUAUAGACCCGAAACCCGGUGAUCUAGCCAUGGGCAGGUUGAAGGUUGGGUAACACUAACUGGAGGACCGAACCGACUAAUGUUGAAAAAUUAGCGGAUGACCUGUGGCUGGGGGUGAAAGGCCAAUCAAACCGGGAGAUAGCUGGUUCUCCCCGAAAGCUAUUUAGGUAGCGCCUCGUGAACUCAUCUUCGGGGGUAGAGCACUGUUUCGGCUAGGGGGUCAUCCCGACUUACCAACCCGAUGCAAACUGCGAAUACCGAAGAAUGUUAUCACGGGAGACACACGGCGGGUGCUAACGUCCGUCGUGAAGAGGGAAACAACCCAGACCGCCAGCUAAGGUCCCAAAGUCAUGGUUAAGUGGGAAACGAUGUGGGAAGGCCCAGACAGCCAGGAUGUUGGCUUAGAAGCAGCCAUCAUUUAAAGAAAGCGUAAUAGCUCACUGGUCGAGUCGGCCUGCGCGGAAGAUGUAACGGGGCUAAACCAUGCACCGAAGCUGCGGCAGCGACGCUUAGGCGUUGUUGGGUAGGGGAGCGUUCUGUAAGCCGUUGAAGGUGUGCUGUGAGGCAUGCUGGAGGUAUCAGAAGUGCGAAUGCUGACAUAAGUAACGAUAAAGCGGGUGAAAAGCCCGCUCGCCGGAAGACCAAGGGUUCCUGUCCAACGUUAAUCGGGGCAGGGUGAGUCGACCCCUAAGGCGAGGCCGAAAGGCGUAGUCGAUGGGAAACAGGUUAAUAUUCCUGUACUUGGUGUUACUGCGAAGGGGGGACGGAGAAGGCUAUGUUAGCCGGGCGACGGUUGUCCCGGUUUAAGCAUGUAGGCGGAGGUUCCAGGUAAAUCCGGUACCUUUUAACGCUGAGGUGUGAUGACGAGGCACUACGGUGCUGAAGUAACAAAUGCCCUGCUUCCAGGAAAAGCCUCUAAGCAUCAGGUAACACGAAAUCGUACCCCAAACCGACACAGGUGGUCAGGUAGAGAAUACCAAGGCGCUUGAGAGAACUCGGGUGAAGGAACUAGGCAAAAUGGUGCCGUAACUUCGGGAGAAGGCACGCUGACAUGUAGGUGAAGCCCCUGCGGGUGGAGCUGAAGUCAGUCGAAGAUACCAGCUGGCUGCAACUGUUUAUUAAAAACACAGCACUGUGCAAACACGAAAGUGGACGUAUACGGUGUGACGCCUGCCCGGUGCCGGAAGGUUAAUUGAUGGGGUUAUCCGUAAGGAGAAGCUCUUGAUCGAAGCCCCGGUAAACGGCGGCCGUAACUAUAACGGUCCUAAGGUAGCGAAAUUCCUUGUCGGGUAAGUUCCGACCUGCACGAAUGGCGUAAUGAUGGCCAGGCUGUCUCCACCCGAGACUCAGUGAAAUUGAACUCGCUGUGAAGAUGCAGUGUACCCGCGGCAAGACGGAAAGACCCCGUGAACCUUUACUAUAGCUUGACACUGAACAUUGAGCCUUGAUGUGUAGGAUAGGUGGGAGGCUUUGAAGCGUGGACGCCAGUCUGCGUGGAGCCAACCUUGAAAUACCACCCUUUAAUGUUUGAUGUUCUAACCUGGUGCCGUAAUCCGGUAUGGGGACAGUGUCUGGUGGGUAGUUUGACUGGGGCGGUCUCCUCCUAAAGAGUAACGGAGGAGCACGAAGGUUGGCUAAUCCUGGUCGGACAUCAGGAGGUUAGUGCAAUGGCAUAAGCCAGCUUGACUGCGAGCGUGACGGCGCGAGCAGGUGCGAAAGCAGGUCAUAGUGAUCCGGUGGUUCUGAAUGGAAGGGCCAUCGCUCAACGGAUAAAAGGUACUCCGGGGAUAACAGGCUGAUACCGCCCAAGAGUUCAUAUCGACGGCGGUGUUUGGCACCUCGAUGUCGGCUCAUCACAUCCUGGGGCUGAAGUAGGUCCCAAGGGUAUGGCUGUUCGCCAUUUAAAGUGGUACGCGAGCUGGGUUUAGAACGUCGUGAGACAGUUCGGUCCCUAUCUGCCGUGGGCGCUGGAGAAUUGAGGGGGGCUGCUCCUAGUACGAGAGGACCGGAGUGGACGCAUCACUGGUGUUCGGGUUGUCAUGCCAAUGGCAUUGCCCGGUAGCUACAUGCGGAAGAGAUAAGUGCUGAAAGCAUCUAAGCACGAAACUUGCCCCGAGAUGAGUUCUCCCUGAGACUUAGAGUCUCCUGAAGGAACGUUGAAGACGACGACGUUGAUAGGCCGGGUGUGUAAGCGCAGCGAUGCGUUGAGCUAACCGGUACUAAUGAACCGUGAGGCUUAACCUUACAACGCCGAAG
rnacentral:rRNA from 1 species